CAUGCUGAAUAUACCGGUUCUCGUUAGAUCACCGAAGUUAAGCAUCAUUGGGCGCGGUCAGUACUUGGGUGGGUGACUACCUGGGAACACUGCGUGCCGUU
rnacentral:rRNA from 1 species